rnacentral:misc_RNA from 1 species
GACAGAAGGGGCAAGCGUUACUCGGAAUUACUGGGCGUAAAGCGUCUGUAGGCGUUUCGCCACGUCUGGCGUAAAAGCACGAGGCUCAACCUCGUGUACGUGCCGGAAACGAGCGGAAUUGAGUCACUCAGAGGCACCUGGAAUGCCGUGUGUAGGGGUAAAAUCCGUUGAUCCACGGUAGAACGCCGAAAGCGAAGGCAGGGUGCUGGGGGUGUACUGACGCUGAGAGACGAAAGCGUGGGGAGCAAACGGG